rnacentral:misc_RNA from 1 species
UGUUGUCGAGUUUAAGUAUGUUCAAGAAACUGCAGUUGGCAAGAUUAAUUGGAAUUUCACCCAAAAAAUUGUUGGAUGAGAUAUCAAGAGAUGUAACAUAUGGCACUAACUUGGAUAUAUCAGAAGGGAUGGAGCCAGAAAGCCAGUUGCUGGAAAAAUCCAAGCCGGUCAAGCUGGUGCAUUUCUGAAUUCCACGAGGGAAGUUGCC